GAUGAACGCUGGCGGCGUGCCUAAUACAUGCAAGUCGAGCGAACGGACGAGAAGCUUGCUUCUCUGAUGUUAGCGGCGGACGGGUGAGUAACACGUGGAUAACCUACCUAUAAGACUGGGAUAACUUCGGGAAACCGGAGCUAAUACCGGAUAAUAUUUUGAACCGCAUGGUUCAAAAGUGAAAGACGGUCUUGCUGUCACUUAUAGAUGGGUCCGCGCUGCAUUAGCUAGUUGGUAAGGUAACGGCUUACCAAGGCAACGAUGCAUAGCCGACCGCAGAGGGUGACAGGCAACAGUGGAAAGGAGGCAGGGUCAGGAGUCAUACGGGAGGAGGAAGUAGGGAGUGUUGCGGAAUGGCCGCAAGUCUUACGGAGCAACAAGGAGUGAAGGAUGAAGGUCUUAGGAUCGUAAAACUCUGUUAUUAGGGAAGAACAUAUGUGUAAGUAACUGUGCACAUCUGGACGGUACCUAAUCAGAAAGCCACGGCUAACUACGUG
rnacentral:rRNA from 1 species